rnacentral:lncRNA from 1 species
AUUUGAGUGCACCUCACGUUCGGGCCACCACGUGAGAGUGAGACUCAGCCAACGCCAAGGAACGGCUGUGUGUCAGAUGUGAAAACAUGUUUAUGGGUAUGGGUCAUUGAACAGCCUUGGCGGUCUCAGUGGGAUACCUUGACGAAGGUACCCGCGAGAAUGAUAUUGGCAGGGGCCAAGUUUAAAAAAAUUCAUAAGUCGGGGAAAUUUUGAUGAAAAGAAAUUAUUUGGUAUAGAUUGAAACGAAUUUUGUGUUAUGAACAUUAUUGAGAUAUAACGUUUUUAUAUUGUCUCCAUCUACUCGGCUUUAGAUGCUUUUGAUGGUAAUUGUUUACUCACUGGGAUUAUUUAAUCUCACCCCUCUUCCUAUCCAUUUUUCAGGCUCAGGACAGUUUGUUGAUAGUUGAUUAAGACGAGAAUUAAUCUCGGAGUUGCAUCAUAGGAAGUAAGGGUUCGUAGCUCUACACCUUCUUGGUUAGUUGGGGGCCCACGUGUCACUGUAAACGAAAUUUCAUACUUUAAUUAUCUUUAUUACUAUAUGAAUAAAUUUAUUUUACUCUUACGCUACAAAAGUUAUUUUAGGAAGACUUUGAAAAUAUUGUGUUUUAAGAAAAUAGAAUAUUUUAUUUAAUGUUUUUAUUAUAUUCAAAUAGCUAUAAUUUUACUUUAAACGAAUGUUUUAGACUUCAAAAUUUAAUUUAAAUCAUGAAAUAUGUGUUUCCACUUACAUAUUACAUUUUUUCGGAUUUCGAAAUUUAAAAAAAAAAAUGACGAAAAUGCCCCAGUGAGCUAGAAAAUAAUAUUUUUAUUGUUUUGAGUUGGAAACAACUUAUGAUUUCUUGAAAUGCGAGAUUUAAUAACUGUCGCUCACCGGGGAGAUGCGGAAGUUGAUGCUAAGCCUUGCGGGGUUUCGAUCGGCAUUCGGGGUAAUGAGUGCUUAUCGGGACGUCGCGACGGUUGUCACGGGCCCGAUGGGAGUUCCGGGUCGUGACAAUUAGAUUGGUAUCAGAGCAUGGUUUAAAGAUCAAAGAUUUUGAUUUUAAAGCUUUGGAUUUCAAAGUUUUUGAUUUUAAAGUUGUUUUAAGAAAUCCACACUGACACUGCGUGGCCCAAGUUAAGUUAAGUUAAGUAAGUCAAGUUAAGUUAGGUUAUAUCGAGUUAGUUGCAUAUAGAAUUUAAAGUCAUCUAAGUCUAUUCCAUUUCUUAUUGUAGAGUACCAUGCCUCCUCGACGUGGGCGUCCACCUCUCUAUAGGUCAGUAGGGAGGGGAAGAGGCCGUGCUAGACUUAGUCAGCCAGAUCCCGUGGAAAGGGAGUCUGCUGCACCUACUUUUCGAGCAGCACCUGCUGUUGAGCCUACUGAGAUUCCUCCACCUCCUCCACCACCUACUGCUACUCCUGGUGUUCAUGCCAUGUCUCUUGAGGCAGUCCAGGCAUUAGCAGCUUUUCUUAAUGUCAUUAUGGGCCAAGCUCAAGCUGGUCGAGUCCCUCAUACUGUUCCCCCAGCAGUAUCUCCAGUGCCACCACCACCACCUCUUGUUCCACCACCAGUGCCAGAUGUCUCCAUUUCCAAAAAGCUUAAGGAAGCUAGGCAGCUGGGUUGCACUUCUUUUGUUGGUGAUUUGGAUGCAACCGCAGCUAAAGAUUGGAUUACUCAGGUAACGGAGACAUUUGUGGAUAUGAAAUUGGAUGAUGAUAUGAAGUUAAUGGUGGCCACAAGAUUACUAGAGAAGAGGGCUCGUACAUGGUGGAGCUCGGUAAAAUCACGUUCCAUUACUUCGUUGACUUGGAUAGACUUCCUACAAGAAUUCGACGGUCAAUACUACACCUACUUUCAUCAAAAAGAGAAGAAGAGAGAAUUCCUAAGUUUACAACAAGGGAAUUUAACCAUAGAAGAGUACGAGGCUCGUUUUAACGAGCUGAUGUCAUAUGUGCCAGACCUGGUGAAGUCUGAGCAAGAUCAAGCUAGUUAUUUUGAAGAAGGGCUCCGUAACGAGAUUAGAGAGAGGAUGACUGUGACAGGCCGGGAGCCUCAUAAAGAAGUUGUACAGAUGGCUUUAAGGGCCGAAAAACUCACGAAUGAAAAUCGGAGAAUGCGAGCUGAGUUUGCAAAGAGGAGAAACCCGAAUGUAUCCUCUAGUCAACUGCCCAAAAGAGGUAAGGACACAUCUGCUUCUGAGAGUACUGUUUCUGUUCCGGUGAUAUCUCCUCGACCCCCACUUUCACAGUUACAGCAGAGACCUCCGAGAUUUAACAGGUCUGGGAUGAGUAGUACUUCCGAGAAGAGUUUUGGAGGUUUAAAUAAAUGCGAAAAAUGUGGGAGAUAUCAUGUUGGGGAGUGUUGGGGCGUAAGAUGCUUUCAUUGUGACCAGCCGGGCCACAUUAGGAGUGACUGCCCACAGUUAGGACGGGCUACAGUAGCUGCUCCAUCCCCACUAACUCAUACGGAUAUGCAGAGGAGAGAUUCCUCUGGAGUACACCCGAGGCAGGGGGUAACUGUACGAUCUGAAAUGGGUAGCAACACCCCAGCACAACCACCUUUGAGGCCAUUGACUCGUUCUUCAACAAGAGUUUUCGCUGUAACGGAAGAUGAAGCACGAGUUCGAUCUGGAGAAAGUGAGUGAAAAGUUAGACGAAGGUGUAAAAUAGUGAUAGGGGAUGUAAAUACCAAGUGAUGGACGUGUAAAUAAAGGUUUCAAGAAUAAUAUAGUAAAUGAGUUCAUAUGGAAUAUGGUUGUAAGAAUUUCUUACUAUAUUGUGGAAAUUAGAACUCAAAAAUACUUGAGGUAUACAAAGUUCAAAUGAACUUAAAUCUUAAGCAAUAAAUUGAUGUCGAAAUACAAGAAGGAUACAAAGCAAUAUAGAGGCACGAAAGAUGAUUAAGGACAAAGGGAUGACUCUGAGGAAUUAUGAUACUGCAUCGUAUGCGAUGAUUAAAUCAAGAUAGAUCUUGGAUGCAUAAAUGGGAUUAUAAAGCAUAUACACAUAUGUGGGGUUGAUAUUGUGAUUAACUAAAAUAAAGAAUGAUUUUUAGUGAAUUAAGAUUCCCUAUAAAGGAGAUAACAGAAGAAGUUGAGCAUCGAAUAAAAGAUAAUACCCCGCCUUUUCUUUGAGUUAAUAAGUGAAAUUUUGAGGACAAAAUUUUAUUUUAAGGGGGGUAAUAUUGUCAAACCCUGCUUUGUAAAAUAAUUAUAAUAUCAUUCACAUGCUCGAUAGAAUGUUUGUAUAUUUAGGAAGUUCGAGAAAUCGUUAAAAGACGAUAUUGCCCCUAAUGGUAUCAUUAAGUCGAUUAAGCCUCGAACUAGUUCAAAUAGGAAUUUUAAGGUGAAAUUAAGAGUUUCACAGUUCAGGGAUGACUCAAAAUGGUAAUUAGGAGUUCGAGGAUCAAUUCGGAGUCAAAUUGAAAUUUUCACUAUAUAGGGGUAAAAUUGUAAUUUUUCCAUCUGCGGACAAAAUUUGAGAUUUUGAGAGAAUUUAGAUCACAUUUGACAAAUUGGGGAAUGAUAUGAGUAUAAGGGAUAAAAAAUAUGUCUAUGGGCAAUUUUUCAGUUUUUGGGGCAAAAAUGUAAUUUUUGAUUUUUACGGGGGCAAAAGUGUAAAUAUCAAAAAUUACUUCACCAAGACUUUGGAUAAGUUUGAGAAUUUUAUCUAAGUUAUGGAUAUUUUAAGGAAUAAUGUGUGGUGGAGAUUUAAAGCUUAAAAGAUAAGAAUUUAAAAAAUGGACCAAUAAUGUAGUGACAUGUGGCAAGUUUAGAUUAUUAUAUUAUUUAACUAUAAAAAUCAGCCCACACCACCAUUUUCUCUUCAUUAUGGCCGGCCAUAGCAAGAAAACAAAGGGGAAAAGAAAAACAAAAACCUAGGGGGAGAAAUUCAAGGAAAAAUUGGUGAAAAUUCAAGGAAACAAGUGACCAAAGGUAAAAUUUCUUAAAUUUGACUUGUGCUUUACCUUUCCCAUGCAUUUCCCAUCAUUUUCCAUGGUUGAAUCAUGUGAUUUGAGGAUGAAUUCAAUUCUGGAAAAAUGGGUUAGGAGAGAGAAACUUGUUAGAUUAAUUUGAUUUUAAGUUAUGUUAGUGUUUUAAGUUAGUUUAGCAUAUUUAGGAACAAAACAACAAGAAAAGAAUUUAUUUUCCUCCAUUACCAUUAUUGGCUGAAUUUUCUAGGGGAAUAUUGGCUGAUGAUCUUGAUGUUUAUUUGAGGAAUUAUGAUGAAUAAUGAUGAAUUAUGAGUCUAGAAAAAUAAUGGGAAUUUUCGGAGUAAAAAUAUGAAUUUUUACCCAUUAGGGGUAUUUUCGUAAUUUGCUAUCGGGACUGAUAAUUUGCACCACACUGAGGGACAUUAAGUCAAUUUGGGUGCAAUUGAGGUAUAGAAACUGAAAAAAAUUAAUUUGAGAUUAAAUUGGACGCGUUAGUAAUUUAAUCGGGUAAUAGGCCGAAUUAGGUCAGCACCGCAUUUAAGCGGUAGUCGGAUAAGUUGCAUGUCAUAUCAUGCAUAUAUACCGAGCCUGAAUUGAUUUUAUAAUGGUCAAGCAUUGAUGUGGUGAAUUAUGUAUUGUACAUUGUGGAUAGGUGGUGAGCAAAUUACACUGGUAAAAGUACAAAAAUUGUGCUUGAAGACUGGGAUUAGGAGUACAUCGACUCCUAGAACUGUGAGUGGACAAUUUAUCGUCUUAAAUAUCUAGAGUAAUUAUACUUGUUUGAUGCUUUUAUUGAAUGGUGAAUUUAAAUUAUAAAAUAUUAUGUUUUCCAAUUAAAAUGUUUUUUAAUAAAAAUGAGAUUUAUACUGGUUUUGAAAUCAAAUAUUGUUUUGGGAAAAUUGAGUAUAUGGAGACUGUGUUGAAAUUUAUGAUUUUAUAUGUUAUUGAAAUUGGGGCUUAUGACACUAUGGUAGCAUGAUGGCUAAAUUUUUGGGGUUGGCAUGAAAUAUAUGAACAAUUUUGGAUUGGUCUCGGUAGACUGGAUUACAUUUUAUUCGCCAUAUUAUGCUACUGGAAUUUUUAUGGGUCUGGUGGUAUAUUAAACGGUCACUGCAGUGGUGGGGGUUUCCGUGGACUGCCUAUGAGAGGGGCACGGUAACUCAAUUAUAUACUUACCUCCGGGGGGAGAUGUUGGGUGAAGUAUCUCCUGAGGUAUGAUUUGAGUGCACCUCACGUUCGGGCCACCACGUGAGAGUGAGACUCAGCCAACGCCAAGGAACGGCUGUGUGUUAGAUGUGAAAACAUGUUUAUGGGUAUGGGUCAUUGAACAGCCUUGGCGGUCUCAGUGGGAUACCUUGACGAAGGUACCCGCGAGAAUGAUUCUGGCAGGGGCCAAGUUUAAGAAAUUCAUAAGCCGGGAAAUUUUGAUGAAAAGAAAUUGUUUGGUAUAGAUUGAAACGAGUUUUGUGUUAUGAACAUUAUUGAGAUAUAACGUUUUUAUAUUGUCUCCAUCUACUCGGCUUUAGAUGCUUUUGAUGGUAAUUGUUUACUCAC